UACGUAGGGUGCGAGCGUUGUCCGGAAUUACUGGGCGUAAAGAGCUCGUAGGUGGUUUGUCGCGUUGUUCGUGAAAACCGGGGGCUUAACCCUCGGCGUGCGGGCGAUACGGGCAGACGUUGAGUACUGCAGGGGAGACUGGAAUUCCUGGUGUAGCGGUGGAAUGCGCAGAUAUCAGGAGGAACACCGGUGGCGAAGGCGGGUCUCUGGGCAGUAACUGACGCUGAGGAGCGAAAGCGUGGGGGAGCGAACAGG
rnacentral:rRNA from 1 species